ensembl:lncRNA
GUGAUAUUAAAUAUCUCUUAAAAUGUCUGUCUUUUUUUUUUUCUAGUUCCUGAGAUCACAAUUACCAACAUCACAGUAAUUGGGGUUGACUCAUCAGUCAUGAAGGUCGAGUCUAACCCCAAAGUGAAACAUGUGGUCAUCGAGGGAAAACCAAAAAUCACCAAGGUAACAAGAAUAAUCAAAGGGGAACCGACAGUCAUUGGGGGUGGGCAGGCUUUCCUUGAUGGUGAAGGUGAGGCAGGAUUCACCACCAGAGUGAUUAAACCAGAGCCUCGGGUCAUAGAAGGUGAGAAGGAAAUUCAAUCAAAUCAAUUGAAUGUGAAUAGAAUCAG